CGGCUACUUCUUUGAGGCUUUUUUACAAGCAAAACCCAAACAUGAAGAAUCUCUCCCGUUCUAACCGCGUUUGUGCUCAUUUCUACUGGUGAAUCCAUCAUCUACCAUCUUAUUAUUUUUAUUUUUUAGCAUUAUGAUAAGGAAAUCCUCUUAUAAUGAGAGAUUCAGUCCAAAAUGGUUGAGAGAUUCUGUGUCCCACAUAUUGUGUCCCUCAUCUCUCUUAUACAUUUUGGACUAGAUCUCUUCAGUUACGCUAAUCCCUUGUUAAGUGUCUCGAAUUUAUCCUUAAUUAGACCAAAUAAUGAUUUUGUUAAAGAUUAUUAUAUCAAUAUUUGGUAACCAAUUUAUUAUUUUUAUAUUCAUAUCUAAUAUAAUAUUUCAUCUUGAUUUUAAUUCUAGAUCUUACAUCCAAUUAAUGAUUUCUAUCCCAAAAAUUAGUGACAAAUUUAAUAUUUAGUAAAAAUGUAUACCUAGUAAAAUAUUAUUUAUUCGAUAUUUAUUUCAUAUAUUCAACAACUCUAAAAAAAAAUAUUUUUUUUCAACAUCAAAUUUCACAAUCUCUUAACAUUUUUUUUAAAAGAGGGUCUAUCUUUACAGUCCGGAUCUGCUGUCCCUAUAUGCUAUCCCAGCCGUAUCCACUUGACACACGGCAGCAACUCUCAUUUAGGCAGCAACUCUCAUUUAAUGCAACCAUGACUUAACUCCUUCAAUGCUCAGUUACUAUUUAAAAAUAUUAAAUUAAAAAUUGCACUAACUCUCCAAAUUUAAAUUUCUCAUCCAUCUAUAUCAUUUUCUUUUAAGACCCUCUUUAUUGAAAAUACAUAUACAAUUUUCUCAAAUAAUCACAUUCACAUUUCGUCUUUUAGUUUUUGACCAUUUUCUAAAAAAUAAUAUGCUACUGAGAUAUUUUUUAUCUUAAAAAAAAUAAUAUAAAACAUUUGUGAGUUUUAGGUAUACAUAAUUUUUUGAAAUAUUUGGUUAAGAUAUUGAAACACUAGAAUUUACGUAAAAAUAUAAAAAUAAAUUAGUAAUUGAUUAUUAAAAUUAAUUGAAAAUGUUAUUUCAAGAUGUAAAAAUCGAAUAUAUCAUUCAUCGAAUAUAUCAUGAUAUAUGUAUUUUCCUUAUGUUCUUUUAUUCCUUAUUUUAAAUAAGGGAAAUACAUAUAUCAUGAUAUAUUCAAGUUUUACCAUUAUGUUUUUUUAUUCCUUACUUUAAAUAAGGGAAAUACAUAUAUCAUGAUAUAUUCAAGUUUUACAUAUAUCAUGAUAUAUUCAAUUUUUACAUCUUGAAAUCACAUUUUUAAUUAAUUUUAAUAAUCAAUUACUAAUUUAUUUUUAUAUUUUUAUGUAAAUUCUAGUGUUUCAAUAUCUUAACCAAAUAUUUCAAAAAAUUAUGUAUACCUAAAACUCAGAGAUGUUUUAUAUUAUUUUUUUUAAGAUAAAAAAUACCUCAGUAGCAUAUUUUUUUUUAGAAAAUGGUCAAAAGCUAAAAGACGAAAUGUGAAUGUGGUUAUUUGAGAAAAUUGUAUAUGUAUUUUCAAUAAAGAGGGCCUUAAAAGAAAAUGAUAUAGAUGGAUGAGAAACUUAAAAAAUUGGGGAGUUAGUGCAAUUUUUAAUAUAAUAUUUUUAAAUAGUAACGGAACAUUGAAGGAGUUAAGUCGUGGUUGCAUUAAAUGAGAGCUGUUGCUGUGUGUCAAGUGGAUACUGAAACAACAUUUUGGGACAGCAGGUCCGGACUGCUAUCUUUCUCCUCCACUAUUUGUCUGCCGAAGCAAAUGAUCAUUAACUUCUCAUUAUAAUGAUAAAUUUAUGAUAAAAUUAUCAUAUUCAAAUCAAUAUUUAAUACCAUAUGACAAAUUUAUCCCAACGAAGUCAUUGCAUGAGUUUAUUUUCAUUCUUUUGCAUUAGUGAGACUUCCUUGAAAUUCUUUAUUUCUUCCACAUUAUAGGACUUCUUGUCCUGUUAAGCUAACCACAGGUGAAGGGAGGUCUGUCUAGUCCAAAUCCUAGGUUUUAGUUAAAACAGAUUUUUUAAUUUUCUUAACCAAUUAAUGAUGUGUCAUCUCACGAUUGAUUGCUCGCAAACCUUCAUAUUUAAUAUGCUACUUACGUAUAUAAUUUAAUUAAUCUGUUUUUGUACGUAUUGGUGCGUGCAGGAGUGAAGUGACAAUGGUGGAGGCAUGUGAGCUGAUGAUUCCUUUGUUCCCAGAAUUCUGCCGUGAUAUCAAUUGCCCAUAGUUACGUCAGCAGAAAAAGGGAAGCUGCGCCAACUAAUUGAUACUUGUUUUUGCGAGUAUCCUUGCUAAUUAAAUGCCCAUGGCUCACUCAUGCCCUUGUUAAUGCUACCUCCAAAUAAACUAUAACUAAAGAGUGAAAAUUUUCAUGUCCAAUAAAUAUAUAGUCAUGUCUCUUUUAAUUUCUUUUAGUUGGUUUUUUAUUGGUAUAAAAAAUGAUAUUCUACUUUAAUUCUUAUCUAACAAAAUGAUGUAAUAGUUACAUUGUCAUAAUUGACAAGUAUUUAG
rnacentral:lncRNA from 1 species